rnacentral:tRNA from 1 species
GCUCCUGUAGUUCAACGGAUAGAACAGAGGACUCCUAAGCCUCUAAUGUAGGUUCAAUUCCUGCCAGGAGCA